AGUAUAAAUACAGAAGCAAUCUAUAUCCAUUUAAGAGGGCGAGAGCAAGAGAGAGAUAGAGAGAGAGAGGGAGAUUGAGUUGAAUUAGGGUUAGGGCUUUGGCGGAGCUCAGCUUCGGCUUGAGAGCAAUGGAAGAAAUAACAGAUGGAGUCAACAACAUCAACAUCAACAUCGGAGGCGCCGCCGGCGAUUCCAAUAAGAAGAAUCGCAUUCAGGUCUCCAACACCAAGAAACCCUUGUUCUUCUACGUCAAUCUCGCCAAGAGGUAUAUGCAGCAGCACAACGAGGUGGAGCUGUCGGCGCUUGGCAUGGCUAUUGCUACAGUUGUAAGUGUUGCAGAAAUUCUGAAAAAUAACGGAUUGGCUGUUGAGAAGAAAAUCAUGACGUCCACUGUUGAAAUGAAGGAUGAAGCAAGAGGGCGACCCGUCCAAAAAGCUAAAAUUGAGAUAGUACUCGGGAAAACAGAGAAGUUUGAUGAAUUAAUGGCAGCUGCUUUGGAGGAGAGAGAUCGUGGAGAAGGUGAAGAGCAGAGCUAAAGGGAAGGGGAUCUGAUGUAGCUCUUAGUUUUGCCGUCAUGGGGGUGUAAUACUAUAAAGAACCUAAUGUAGCUUGUAGCCUUUUAUGUGGUCCAGAGAUGACAAGCUAAUUAUUUUGGCUUUAGUAUCUGGUGUGGUGCGCGUACUCCUACAUUGCAGCAAUUCGGUUGCCAUUCUAGAACUCUGCUGCAGAUUUUGGCUAGAGCGGCUGGUGGCUGGUGGACGCUGGACGCAAUACAGAAAAGGAGUGCUGAAUUUGUUAUGUGAUAAGAAAAUCAGGUAAUAAAGGAAGCUCAUUUUAACUAGCUGGAUGGUCUAGUUUUGUGAUAUAUAAUAAUCACGAGUUGCUUGAUGAAAUUGUGCCUAAAAGGAAGCAUUUGAAUCAUGUUUUCCUUUUUCAAUUUUCUGAGCGUGUGUUUGCCUGGUUAAAAGAGAGCCGAAUUGUUUUCACAAUUUGGUCUCUCGUUGUAGUAGCACCUACUUAUAAAUUGAGAAACUAGUGUUUGGUCUUUGGUCCAAAAAUUAACUUGUUUUUUGUAUUAAGCAUGGUUUGGCUUGGAGCUCUGAAUCAGCUGAACCGGGCUAAUUGAACCUGAUCAAGGUUUUUUUUUUUUCUGAAAAAAAAUGUCUUUUAUUUUUAGAUGUUAGAAAAUAUAAUAAUAACUUGAGAUAUUUGAAAGAAGGUAGAUGUUUAUUAUUUGAAUGUCAUAUAUCAUUUUGUUAAUGUAUAGAGUUUUUGAUCUGUAUUUGAU